rnacentral:rRNA from 1 species
AUUGAACGCUAGCGGCAUGCUUUACACAUGCAAGUCGAACGGCAGCACGGGAGCUUGCUCCUGGUGGCGAGUGGCGAACGGGUGAGUAAUAUAUCGGAACGUGUCCUGGAGUGGGGGAUAACGCGUCAAAAGAUGUGCUAAUACCGCAUACGCUCUACGGAGGAAAGUGGGGGACCGCAAGGCUUCACGCUCAAGGAGCGGCCGAUAUCCGAUUAGCUUGUUGGUGGGGUAAAGGCCUACCAAGGCGACGAUCGGUAGCUGGUCUGAGAGGAUGAUCAGCCACACUGGGACUGAGACACGGCCCAGACUCCUACGGGAGGCAGCAGUGGGGAAUUUUGGACAAUGGGCGCAAGCCUGAUCCAGCCAUGCCGCGUGAGUGAAGAAGGCCUUCGGGUUGUAAAGCUCUUUCGGUGGGAACGAAACGGUCCGCGCCAAUACCGCGGACUACUGACGGUACUCACAGAAGAAGCACCGGCUAACUACGUGCCAGCAGCCGCGGUAAUACGUAGGGUGCAGGCGUUAAUCGGAAUUACUGGGCGUAAAGCGUGCGCAGGCGGUCUGUAAAGUCAGAUGUGAAAGCCCCGGGCUCAACCUGGGAAUUGCAUUUGAAACUGGCAGGCUAGAGUGUGGCAGAUGGGGGUGGAAUGCCACGUGUAGCAGUGAAAUGCGUAUAGAUGUGGAAGGAACACCGAAUGCGCGAAGGCAGCCCUCUUGGGCCCAACACUGACGCUCAGGCACGAAAGCGUGGGGAGCAAACAGGAUUAGAUCCCCUGGUAGUCCACGCCCUAAACUAUGUCAACUAGUUGUUGGGAGAGUUAAAUCUCUUAGUAACGCAGCUAACGCGUGAAGUUGACCGCCUGGGGAGUACGGCCGCAAGGUUAAAACUCAAAGGAAUUGACGGGGACCCGCACAAGCGGUGGAUUAUGUGGAUUAAUUCGAUGCAACGCGAAAAACCUUACCUACCCUUGACAUGUACGGAACGGGGCAGAGACGUCCCAGUGCCCGAAAGGGAACCGUAACACAGGUGCUGCAUGGCUGUCGUCAGCUCGUGUCGUGAGAUGUUGGGUUAAGUCCCGCAACGAGCGCAUCCCUUACCAUUAGUUGCUACAUUCAGUUGGGCACUCUAAUGGGACUCCCGGUGACAAACCGGAGGAAGGUGGGGAUGACGUCAAGUCCUCAUGGCCCUUAUGGGUAGGGCUUCACCCGUAAUCCAAUGGCCGGUACAGAGGGUUGCCAACCCGCGAGGGGGACCCAAUCCCAGAAAGCCGGUCGUAGUCCGGAUUGUUCUCUGCAACUCGAGAGCAUGAAGUCGGAAUCGCUAGUAAUCGCGGAUCAGCACGCCGCGGUGAAUACGUUCCCGGGUCUUGUACACACCGC